GACGUUACCUACAGAAGAAGCACCGGCUAACUCCGUGCCAGCAGCCGCGGUAAUACGGAGGGUGCGAGCGUUAAUCGGAAUUACUGGGCGUAAAGACGCAUGCAGGCGGCCUGUUAAGUCAGAUGUGAAAGACCCGGGCGUUAACCUCGGAAUUGCAUUUGUAAACUAGGCAGGCUAGAGUCUUGUAGAGGGGGUAGGAAGUUUCUAGGUGUAGCGGUGAAAUAGCGUAGAGAUCUGAAGGAAUACCAGUGGCGAAGGCGGCCCCCUCGGACAAAGACUGACGCUCAGAUGCGAAAGCGUGGGGAGCAAACAGGAUUAGAUACCCUGGUAG
rnacentral:rRNA from 1 species